AUUGAACGCUGGCGGCAUGCUUUACACAUGCAAGUCGAACGGCAGCAUAGGUGCUUGCACCUGAUGGCGAGUGGCGAACGGGUGAGUAAUAUAUCGGAACAUGUCCGGAAGUGGGGGAUAACGUAGCGAAAGUUACGCUAAUACCGCAUAUGCCCUGAGGGGGAAAGGGGGGGAUCGCAAGACCUCUCGCUUUCGGAGUGGCCGAUAUCGGAUUAGCUAGUAGGUGAGGUAAAGGCUCACCUAGGCGACGAUCCGUAGCUGGUCUGAGAGGACGACCAGCCACACUGGGACUGAGACACGGCCCAGACUCCUACGGGAGGCAGCAGUGGGGAAUUUUGGACAAUGGGCGCAAGCCUGAUUCAGCCAUGCCGCGUGAGUGAAGAAGGCCUUCGGGUUGUAAAGCUCUUUCAGCCGGAAAGAAAUCGUACUUAUUAAUACUAAGUGCGGAUGACGGUACCGGAAGAAGAAGCACCGGCUAACUACGUGCCAGCCGCCGCCGUAA
rnacentral:rRNA from 1 species